AUAGUAGUGAUAAAUUCUGUGGUUGGUAAUAUAUAUUAAUUUUGUAUCUACUUUUUUAUUUUAAUACCAUAUAGUUUAAAGUGUAACAAUUUAGUAAUCCGUAGUUUCAUUUUUCUCAUUUUAUUAUCCCCUCUAUUAAUUUUUUUUUGUUAAAUCAGUGACAAAGUAAAAACUAAAAGGAUAAGGUUUGCAUCCAUCAACCCGGAUCCGUUUGCAUCCCUGACCCCACAUGCCUGGUCCACAAAUCUAUUACGUAAACGCUUAAAAAGAUAAGGUUUAAAAUAUGAAAACUUCAAAUACCCCUCUAUGGUUUCACACUUUCUCACUUUAGUACCCUGUGAUUUUAUUUUUCACUUUUUAUUACCCAUUUCACUAAUUUUUUUUAUUAAAUCAGUGACAAAAUUAAAAUUAAAGAGUACUAAAGUGAAUAUUCGAUCAACCUAGGUAAGGUAUUUGAAGUUUUUUUUGUAUAUAAUUUAACGAAAUAUUAAUGGAGGAAAACUAAUCAGUGACAAACUUAAAACUAAAGGGUACUAAAGUAAAUAUUUGAUAAAUCUAAAUAGGGUAUCUGAAGUUUUUUUUGUAUAUAAUUUAAUGAAAUAUUAAUAGAGGAGCCGACGAAAAGAGAAAAAUGAAACCACAGCGUAGUAAAUUGAUGCACUUUAAACCACAACGUACUAAAGUGAGAAAGUACGAAAUCACACGGUACUAAACUGAUACACUCUAACCAUAGGAUACUAAAAUAAAAAAGUGCGAAACCACAGGGUGGUAUUUGAAGUUUUCCGUUUAAAAUAUACACUAG
rnacentral:lncRNA from 1 species